GUCUCUUUGGAGAUAUCUGAUAAUAUUAGAGCAACACAAAGAAGAUUAGCAUGGUCUCUGCGUAAGGAUGACACACAUAAAUCGAAAAAUGGUCUAAAUUUUU